rnacentral:rRNA from 1 species
GAUGAACGCUAGCGGCAGGCCUAAUACAUGCAAGUCGAACGGGAUCUGAGGGUAGCUCGCUACCCGAUUUGAGAGUGGCGCACGGGUGCGUAACGCGUGAGCAACCUACCCAUAUCAGGGGGAUAGCCCGAAGAAAUUCGGAUUAACACCGCAUAAUAAUACGCUAACACAUGUUGAUGUAUUUAAAUAUUUAUAGGAUAUGGAUGGGCUCGCGUGACAUUAGCUAGUUGGUAAGGUAACGGCUUACCAAGGCGACGAUGUCUAGGGGCUCUGAGAGGAGAAUCCCCCACACUGGUACUGAGAAACGGACCAGAAUCCUACGGGAGGCAGCAGUAAGGAAUAUUGGUCAAUGGGCGCAAGCCUGAACCAGCCAUGCCGCGUGCAGGAUGACUGCCCUAUGGGUUGUAAACUGCUUUUGUUAGGGAAUAAACCUUCUUACGUGUAAGGAGCUGAAUGUGCCUAAAGAAUAAGGAUCGGCUAACUCCGUGCCAGCCGCCGCGGUAA